GCACUGCUGAUGAGACCCAAGCAGGUCGAAAUAGCUGUGCAGUGC
rnacentral:hammerhead_ribozyme from 1 species